rnacentral:lncRNA from 1 species
AUGAGUGGAAAAUAAAUAAAGCAUGUGUCUUCAGAGAAUGUCUUUGGAGAAGGUGGAGACUGAAUUUUCUCAGCUGCACCUGCUGACUCUCUCCUGUCUUGAGUGUGCCCUCACAGACAUCCAAUAAGCCUUUUCUUGUGGAGUCUUCCCCCUGCCAAGCCCCUCAGCUUAGCUCCCUGCUUUGAGAAUUGCCCUGAAACGUCCAUUGGCACACAACUCAGUGGGUCUCUGCAUGGGGUAACACCACGCAAAUUUUGCACACUCUGAACAGAAGGAUCAAGAAUUGCUUAUAGCCCAGCUCCUUGCCUGGGGCUUUUCCACACCUGCCUAGAGCUCUGGUAUGAGGUCUCACUGAAUUUCUAUUCCUGGAGUUUUGUCCUCGUAACACACAAGAUCCAUUGCAUUCACAUGGAGUCAGUAUCUGAGCCCCAAGCACAGCUUCACUUUAGACAGGACCUCCCACCUGAUAACCUAUUUGUCUCUGAUGGUACCCAUUGGCCCCUGAAUCUCACACUGGCUUCUGGUAAACUCGAACCAGGGGUGCUAGGAACAAAUACAGGCCAGAGAGUACAUAAGACAUCCAGAAGCUGCAGAAAUCUAGUGUCCUCCAAAACACCAAAGAAACAUCAAGAAAUCCUGGGCCUAGGAGGCUGGAGUCCAUUUUUAUUUAACAUUUAUUUCUUGUGGAGUCAUUAAGGUCAUUUCAUGGGACUGAGUGCUGUGAAUAAUUCAAAGACAGUUAGCAUCCAAGUCUGGGUUUUUUGGCAAUAUGGCGUAUUGGCAAAGCACAACGUGCGACGGAAAGCAAUUCUGGGAUUUAACCCCAGCACUUCUGCCACCUACCUGUUGAUGUUGGAUGACUGACUUCACUUCUCUGAGCAUCCAUUUUCUUAUUAAAAUAAAGAUGACAUAAAAUAAUAAGAUAUCAAUACUAACCUUACAAUAAAUAUGUUAAUUGGUACACUUAAUUAAAAGAACCUAGCAAAGUAUCUUGUGUAAUAGAAGCAAUGGCUUUUAUUAGGAUCUUGUUAUGCAGCAAGCAAGGGUAUACAUGCCAUAUCACAUUUAAUCUCCAAAACAGGCCUACAGGAUAAGUUCUCUUUCCAUGCUCAUCUUAAAGAUGAGGAUAACAAGGCUGAUAGAUAUUCCUUAAAAUUACUGGAGUUAGACCAGGCAUGGUGGCUCACUUUUGUAAUCCCAGCACUUUGGGAGACUGAGGCGGGCAGAUCACCUAGGUCAGGAGUUCAAGACCAGCCUGGCCAACAUGGUGAAACCUGGCUCUACUAAAAAUACAAAAAUUAGCCAGGUGUGAUGGCGCAUGCCUGUAAUCCCAGCUACUCUGGAGGCUGAGACAGGAGAAUCACUUGAACCUGGGAGGCAGAGGUUGCAGUGAGCCGAUGUCGUGCCAUUGCACUCCAGCCUGGGCAACAGAGUGAGACUCCAUCUCAAAAAAAAAAAAAAAAAAA